AGUGAGGCAGGCACUUGCUUGCAGAAGAACAGGCCUAGUUUUUUAAGAAGCCACAAAAGUGUCUUUGGAUGAUUAGGAUCUAAGGGGCCAACAGCUUUGCAAUAACAGCAUAAAUAUUGUGGGCUGGAUGGACAGGCACCAAAUGGGGACAUUCCAUCCUGCUGUGUGAUGAGAAAGCUGCCACUUUUGAGGCCUUCCAAAACAAAUCAACACUCCAUAUGCCAGAAGGAAAAGCCCAGGAAAGACCUAUUCCAACUGGAGAUGGUGAAUGUCAUUUCUUCAAGAAGCUGAGAUCCAGCUGGUACUGCCAGGUGGAGAGUGAGUUGGGUAGCUGACCUCGGGCAUGGCAGCCUUGGUUUUUGGCCACUUCAUGGGGUGACCUGUUGAGCAAACAGCAGUGGAAUUCUGCAGCUGUGGACCAAGAUAUUGCUGUGUUCUUGUUUCUAGGAAUACGAAGGGAGAAUGAAACAAAACUGCUCCGCUUAGGGAACUUGGAAAGGAAAUUGAAAAGGCAAGGCACAGGCUGGAAGAAAAUAUUUGAAAAAGAUUUAUGUGAACUUCUUUCUGGAUUAUACAAAAUAUUUUUAGAUAUUCUUACAACUCUAAAAUAAGAUAACUCCUUAAAAAUCUAAAUUCUACCAAAGGAGAGAUAAAGAUGACGA
rnacentral:lncRNA from 1 species